rnacentral:rRNA from 1 species
GAUGGGAGCUUGCUCCCUGAUGUUAGCGGCGGACGGGUGAGUAACACGUGGGUAACCUGCCUGUAAGACUGGGAUAACUCCGGGAAACCGGGGCUAAUACCGGAUGCUUGUUUGAACCGCAUGGUUCAAACAUAAAAGGUGGCUUCGGCUACCACUUACAGAUGGACCCGCGGCGCAUUAGCUAGUUGGUGAGGUAAUGGCUCACCAAGGCGACGAUGCGUAGCCGACCUGAGAGGGUGAUCGGCCACACUGGGACUGAGACACGGCCCAGACUCCUACGGGAGGCAGCAGUAGGGAAUCUUCCGCAAUGGACGAAAGUCUGACGGAGCAACGCCGCGUGAGUGAUGAAGGUUUUCGGAUCGUAAAGCUCUGUUGUUAGGGAAGAACAAGUACCGUUCGAAUAGGGCGGUACCUUGACGGUACCUAACCAGAAAGCCACGGCUAACUACGUGCCAGCAGCCGCGGUAAUACGUAGGUGGCAAGCGUUGUCCGGAAUUAUUGGGCGUAAAGGGCUCGCAGGCGGUUCCUUAAGUCUGAUGUGAAAGCCCCCGGCUCAACCGGGGAGGGUCAUUGGAAACUGGGGAA